UAGUACGGCGAGUGAAGAGGGAAGAGCCCAAGAUUGAAAGCUGGCGUCUUCGGCGUCCGCAUUGUAAUCUCAAGAAGUGUUUUCCGCUUCGGACCAUGCCUAAGUCCCUUGGAAAAGGGCAUCAUAGAGGGUGAUAAUCCCGUACAUGGCAUGGAGCGCCCGAAGCUUUGUGAUACGCUUUCUAAGAGUCGAGUUGUUUGGGAAUGCAGCUCAAAAUGGGUGGUAAAUGCCAUCUAAGGCUAAAUAUUGGGGAGAGACCGAUAGCGAACAAGUACCGUGAGGGAAAGAUGAAAAGCACUUUGGAAAGAGAGUUAAACAGUACGUGAAAUUGUCGAAAGGGAAGCGCUUAAAGUUAGACAUGCCUGCUGGAAUUCAGCCUUGCUUUUGCUUGGUGUAUUUUCCAGUGAGCAGGCCAGCAUCAGUUUUGACUGUCGGAUAAGGGUUGGAGGAAUGUAGCCCCUCGGGGUGUUAUAGCCUCUGACUGGAUACAGCGACCGAGACCGAGGACAGCAGCGUACUCGCAGGAGCGGGCCUUCGGGCACCUUUACGCUUAGGGCGUUGGCAUAAUGGCCCUCUACCACCCGUCUU
rnacentral:rRNA from 1 species